ensembl:lncRNA
CAGAGGAUACUCAUUAGGCCAAGUGUUUCCAACUGCACAUUGCAAAGUGAUGGAAAUGGACGCCUGAACACCCGAGUUCUGCACUCCUCCGGGUGUUCACCCUCAGCAGGCUCCUCAAAAAUGCAACUGUAGCGGAUAUAACCUCUCAUUUAGGGGUUGUUAUAAACCUUUCUCCAGUCUCAGGCCACAGAUGGUCUACUGAGUUCCACCGAGAAGAAAAAUUUCUGCAGCGCUUGCUCUCCUGGCCCUCAGGUGAAUGAACAUGGUCCAGUAGGCUCACACCACCCUGCUGACCUUGGGCCUUCAUUGCGAGCCACGUGACGCAUGUUUAGGGUGCCUAAGACAUGUAAUGCCUCAGCUUGGGCUAAGGCGGGAGCCUCUCUGCAGGUCUCCAGUGUGCUGCCCAGGAAUGCUCAUCACCAUCUCAGAAUCCAAAGUGGACAUAUUUAUAGUGUCUCCUGACUUUGAAAGGAGUUAAGAGCAGAGAGCAGAAAAUAGUUGGUCUGAAUGGGAAAUGAAAAUCAAAUAUUCUCUUAUUCUAAAGGGCACUGUGAACAAGAAUUAAUAAUGUAAGAUGCAAGACAUGCUAUAUAGCACUCUGAAAAAAUAUGAUGCCUACGUAUUUAGUUUAAGGCAAAAUGGCCUCGAACCCAGCCCCGGAGAGACAGCAGUGAACAGAACAGCAACCCCAGCCCCAGGGAGUUUACCUUCUCUGAAGGGAGACAGGAAAUAACAGAUAAGGUAAGUGCUACUGAAAAAAAUCAAUGGAGAGAGAGAGGAGAAUGUCUGGGGCACAAUUUUAAGUACAUUGACUAGGGAAGACGAUGCUAAGAAAGAAUGGCUUUCCUAAAUAUUAGUUGUUAUUAUUAUCAUAAUCUAUUAUUCUACAUUCACUUACCCCAUUUGCAAGUCUUUGUGAGUAGAUGGACGAAUUUGACACGGUUGGUGGCAAACAGAAGAUUAUCAGACACACACCGUCACCACAACCACGCUCAUCCCACUUCUCUGCAAAUAAUUUAAUAUCCUAGAAUUGUUCUCUGGCCCCCUUGUGAUUAAACACCUGUUUUAUGUGCAAUUUUAUAAUACAUCUGGUGUCAAGGUUAUAAUAAUGUUAUGAUAUAAACUUGAUAUGAUAUAUGAUAUGAACUUGUCAAAAUAAAUGUAUAGAGUAUAUCUGUCUCUUUUUUAAAAAAAAUGCUCUCUGCCAUGUGGCCUGUCCAUUUUGAUUUUCCUCAACUUGGCAAAGUCACUUGCUCUGAGUCUAAGCCUCUCUUUGAAGCAGUUGUCGCAUCUGGAGCAAACAGGCCCCAGCAUCUGGGGUCAAAACAUAGGGAAUAGGUGUUUUAUUAAUUUGCAGGAAAAAACAGAAUCCUUAUCCAGAUCCCUUUUAUUAUGAUGACUUAGUUUUUCCCUUUCGUUUCUCACUUUCUUAUACUUUUCUUUCUACCUUUUCCCUUCUUCACUACCUUUCUUCUCUCAGAGUCCAGCUUUUCAUCCUCUCUUCUUUCCUGUUUUAGCCCUCUUCUCACUGUGAACCAUUUAAAGUCUAGAGAGCAGUUUGCCAGGGAGUGAGAACAUCUUAGGCUCUAAUGCAGGACAGGAAUCCCCCCAGUUCCCAGGCCUCCAUUACCCUGGGCAGUUUGAGUCAUCUGUAGGCUUUGCCCAAAUCUCUCAUAACAGGGAAAGAGAAAUGGUGCCAUGCACCAGCUGUGUGGUCCCAGGGAACUCAACCUCUGCAAGUCUCAGUUUCUUCAACUAACACAACUAUACUUUCUGGUUAAAGCUUGUUUUGUAAGUUAGAAAUAAUAUUUGAAAAGUACUUGGUCCCUUGGCAUUGCAAUGCAACUGCUGAGUGACGUACAUGAAUGAAGUUUUGAAGGAUUGUGGUCUGCUCAUUUCAAUUCCAGUAAGUAUAUUAAGAACAUUUUUAAGGGCCUGGCAUAGUCUAGGCACUAAAUAACGAGUUAUUAUUACCUUACUUGGCACCAUCCUCAGUAGUUUUCUCUUUGAGCCUGAUCCUUCCUUUCUGUUCUUUCUGGUAUGUCUGUUCUUCUCUAAGAUGGGCUUCAUCUUUCUCAGUUUCUUUGCAUGUUCCUGAACCACAGGUCCUUUCUUUUCAAGUCUAAAGACCCGGGCUUAGGCCUGGGCACGUGUCAGCCGAGCAUUGUCUUUCACAGUGAGGCGUUGGCAAUGCCAGGGCAGGAACGGGGGGCUCCUUGACUGCGGGAGUGGGGCCCUUCCCUCACUGCACCAUAUGGCCUCUGAGAACCACAUUUGAUUUUCAUUUAAUUGAAAUUCUUGUAGUAAAGCACAACAAUAGCAUUAGCAGUAACCAGCUCUUUUAAUUGUCAGAAGAAUCCUUGUCUGUUUUUGUGCAGAUGUUGUCUUGCGCCCAGGGCAGCUGUGAGUGUGUGAACGCCUCAUCAGCGAUUGCAGACACUGCCCAAAUGGUGAUCAGCACAGAAACCUUAUAAAAUUACCAACAGACUACCACUUCUGUCUGCCAGCACUUUCAAUGCCAGCCAGCCUUGGGGCUUGUUUUGUUUUGUUUGUUUGUUUGUUUGUUUGUUUUUCUAUUGGAGUAGGUUGUGAUUUAGAAUGAGUGUUUGUGGACCGUAAAUGAAAAUAUAGGCUCACACCCAAUUAACUAGUUUUGACGCAUCAGAAGGGACAUACAUGGUUUAUUUGCAAGAAUGAACAACAACCUAGAAAACUAGGGAUCUUUUUCUCCCUUCCUUUCCCUUAAUAACCUAGGACAAAUGUAAUCAAACUCUCUUUCCCCCUCUGUCUUCAUAUGCUAUAUGUUGUGAGGAAUACCAAAGAAGUGAGUUAUACUUCCUGUCCUUCAAGGGCAAAUAUAAGAAGGUUGAAUCACAAUGACUGUGGUUUGAAUCAUUUACCAGGACAUAAAAAUAUUAAGCUGAAAGUAUCUAUUUACAUGUGAUUCUAUCUCUUUUGACGUCCAAAAGAUGUGAGUGACAUAACAUCUCAGUUAGAUGCAAUUCCCCCAGUACCGAAGUGAACGUCUUUGUCUUAUUCUUGCUUGGGUUACAUAGUCAUCCAAUUUCCCCCAAUGCCUCCUGUAACUCUCCCUCAAUGACUUCUCUUAUUUGUACUUUACAGGAUCUCCAGAGACUCUGCUUCUGUGAGGCCACCUAAACUAUGAUCCCAUAAAAUUAAAAUGAUGAGAUGGAAAACCACAGAAAGCACCACACACCUGGCAGCUGAGCGGAACUUUGUGUUGCCAAAGGGGCCCAGGCCUGGGCUUCUGCCAUGUGAUUCCCUGCCCACCUUCUACCCAGAGGGGACUGCUAAUUUUUAAAAAUAGGUUUAAUACAGUCGUACACUCUAAUGUACUCUGUACUAUCUUCUUCCUGUGGGUGCACUUUUCAACUGUUACAAGAAGUUCAGUCCCUUGUGAAGCAUGAGUUUGUAAAGAUUUAUAUCAGUUUUGUUGUCUCUGUUAAUUUUAACCAAGUGGUGUAUCCUGAUAUAUGAUAUGAAUUUAGAGUUAGUAGAUCUCAUUUCUGGAGAAGGAAAUGGCAACCCACUCCAGUGUUCUUGCCUGGAGAAUCCCAGGGAUGGGGGAGCCUGGUGGGCUGCCGUCUAUGGGGUCGCACAGAGUCAGACACGACUGAAGUGACUUAGCAGCAGCAGCAGCAGCAGAUCUCGUUUCAACACUCUAGAGUUUGGAAAGUGUCCCAGAAGCCAGUAAGAAACCAAGCUUCUGCAGAACUGUGGGCAGGUGCUUUCACCUCUGUUUUCUCAUCUGUCACCAGGGCACUACUAUGGCCAUACAAGUCUGUAUACAAGUGUCAUACAAUUUCAAGGAGACUGUUCACAUCGUAACUGAACAACAAAGCGGUCUGUCUGUAACAGGAAGAUAGGAUGCAUCAUCUCAGUCACUCAGUAGUGUCUGACUCUUUGUGACCCCAUGGACUGUAUCCAACCAGGCUCCUCUGUCCAUGGGAUUCUUCAGGCAAGAAUACUGGACUGGGUUGCCAUCGGGCAUCUGUAUUAUGCAUAACCUGGAUCUGUCCAAUGGCAGAGAUGCUUGCUCAACCAUGAAGAUCAAAUUUUCUCCUCCUGGUGCCAGCCCUGCCACUCCUUAAAAGAUUGCAGCCCACCAGGCUCCUCUGUCCAUGGGAUUCUCCAGGCAAGAAUACUGGAAUGGUUGCCAUGCCCUCCUCCAGGAGGUAUUCCUGACCCAGGGAUCAGACCCACGUCUCAUAUCUCCUGCAUUGGCAGGGCAAGAACCUUGACUCUUUAUGGACAUGUCCUAAAUGCCUAGCACAAUGGCUCAUCUAUAACAGACUGUUGUUCAAAAUGGGUCAUAAAGCAGUGGAGACAACUCGCAACAUCAACAACACAUUUGGCCCAGGAACUGCUAAUGAAUGUACAAUGCAGUAAUGGUUUAAGAAGUUUUGCAAAGGAGAUGAGAGCCUUGAAGAUGAGAAGCAUAGUAGCUGACCAUAGGAAGCUGACAACGAUCAACUGAGAGGCUCAUUGAAGCUGAUCCUCUUAGAACUACAUGAGAAAUUGCCGAAGAACUCAACCUCAACCAUUCUAUGGUUAUUCAGCAUUUGAAGCAAAGUGGAAAGGUGAAAAAGCUCGAUAAGUGGGUGCAUCAUGAGCUGACAAAAAUUUUAAAAAUCAUCAUUUUGAAGUGUCAUUUUCUCUUAUUCUAUGCAAUAGCAACAAACCAUUUCUUGAUUGUUUUAUGACAUACAAUGAAAAGUGGAUUUUAUAUUCAACCACCAACAACCAGCUCAGUGGUUAGACAGAGAAGAAGCCUCAAAGCACUUCCCAAAACCAAACUUGCAUCAAAAAAUUCUUCAAGGAUCUCAAUAACUUUUUGCAAGGAAAAUGCUUCCACAACCGGCAGGAGGCAGAAAAUGUUUAGAGUUUGUCGAAUCCCGAAGUACAGAAUUUUACACUACAAGAAUAAACCAACCCAUUUCUCAUGGGCAAAAAAAUGUGUUGAUUAUAAUGGUUCCUAUUUUGAUUAAUAAAGACGUGUUUGAGCCUAGUUAUAAUGAUUUAAAACUCACGUUCUGAAAUCACAAUUACAUUUGCACCAACCUAAUAGAAUCUGAUGUAUCUAUUUCAGAUGGUGUUACUGAAUUAUGUCCUGCUGAUUUUGGAAUCUUGAUCAUUGAUGUGGCUAAUAUAUCAAUAAAAGUGGGGAAAAUGUUAGUCACUCAGUUGUGUCUGACUCUGUGACCCCAUGGACUGUAGCCCACCAGGCUUCUCUGUCUGUGGAAGUCUCCAGGCAAGAAUACUGGAGUGGACUGACAUUCCCUCCUCCAGAGGAUCGUCCCCACCCAGGGACUGAACCUGGGUUAUAACUAAUUAAAUGUGGCUAAUUAUAUCAUUAAUUAAUGUGGCUAAAAUAUAUCAUUAAAUGGUAUAAUUUUCUAUAAUAUACAGUAAUGGUGCUUACUAUAUGACUUUUGUGUUUAUAUCCAUUUAUAAUAUAUCAAGGCAUAACUCCAGGUUCUUUGAAGGACACUGCUUAAUAAAGAGCAGUGAAAACUGAGGAGUUGAUGGAAAUUCUGAC